UACGUAGGGUGCGAGCGUUGUCCGGAAUUAUUGGGCGUAAAGGGCUCGUAGGCGGUCUGUUGCGUCAGGAGUGAAAACUCGGGGCUUAACCCCGAGCCUGCUUCUGAUACGGGCAGACUAGAGGUAUGCAGGGGAGAACGGAAUUCCUGGUGUAGCGGUGAAAUGCGCAGAUAUCAAGUGGAACACCAGUGGCGAAGGCGAAUCCCUGGAAAAUACCUGACACUGAGGCACGAAAGCUAGGGGAGCAAACAGG
rnacentral:rRNA from 1 species